rnacentral:rRNA from 1 species
UACGUAGGGGGCAAGCGUUGUCCGGAUUUAUUGGGCGUAAAGAGCGUGUAGGCGGCCAGGUAGGUCAGCUGUGAAAACUCGAGGCUCAACCUCGAGACGUCGGUUGAAACCACCUGGCUAGAGUCCGGAAGGGGAGAGUGGAAUUCCUGGUGUAGCGGUGAAAUGCGCAGAUAUCAGGAGGAACACCAAUGGCGAAGGCAGCUCUCUGGGACGGUACUGACGCUGAGACGCGAAAGCGUGGGGAGCGAACAGG